rnacentral:rRNA from 1 species
AGUGAACGCUGGCGGUAGGCCUAACACAUGCAAGUCGAACGGCAGCACAGUAGGAGCUUGCUCUUACGGGUGGCGAGUGGCGGACGGGUGAGGAAUACAUCGGAAUCUACUUUUUCGUGGGGGAUAACGUAGGGAAACUUACGCUAAUACCGCAUACGACCUACGGGUGAAAGCAGGGGAUCUUCGGACCUUGCGCGAUUGAAUGAGCCGAUGUCGGAUUAGCUAGUUGGCGGGGUAAAGGCCCACCAAGGCGACGAUCCGUAGCUGGUCUGAGAGGAUGAUCAGCCACACUGGAACUGAGACACGGUCCAGACUCCUACGGGAGGCAGCAGUGGGGAAUAUUGAACAAUGGGCGCAAGCCUGAUCCAGCCAUACCGCGUGGGUGAAGAAGGCCUUCGGGUUGUAAAGCCCUUUUGUUGGGAAAGAAAAGCAGCAGGUUAAUACCCCGCUGUUCUGACGGUACCCAAAGAAUAAGCACCGGCUAACUUCGUG